CGGAGGGUGCAAGCGUUAUCCGGAUUUACUGGGUUUAAAGGGUGCGCAGGCGGAUAUGUAAGUCAGUGGUGAAAUCUCCGGGCUUAACCCGGAAACUGCCGUUGAUACUAUAUAUCUUGAAUGCUGUGGAGGUAAGCAGAAUAUGUCAUGUAGCGGUGAAAUGCUUAGAGAUGACAUAGAAUACCUAUUGCGAAGGCAGCUUACUACGCAGAUAUUGACGCUCAUGCACGAAAGCGUGGGGAUCAAACAGGAUUAGACACCCUGGUAGUCCACGCCCUAAACGAUGAUUACUCGACAUACGCGAUAUACAGUGUGUGUCUGAGCGAAAGCAUUAAGUAAUCCACCUGGGAAGUACGAUCGCAAGAUUG
rnacentral:rRNA from 1 species